UGGGGAAUAUUGCACAAUGAGGGAAACCCUGAUGCAGCGACGCCGCGUGAACGAAGAAGGUAUUCGUAUCGUAAAGUUCUGUCCUAUGGGAAGAUAAUGACAGUACCAUAGAAGAAAGCUCCGGCUAAAUACGUGCCAGCAGCCGCGGUAAUACGUAUGGAGCGAGCGUUGUCCGGAAUUAUUGGGCGUAAAGGGUACGCAGGCGGUUUAAUAAGUCGAAUGUUAAAGAUCGGGGCUCAACCCCGUAAAGCAUUGGAAACUGAUAAACUUGAGUAGUGGAGAGGAAAGUGGAAUUCCUAGUGUAGUGGUGAAAUACGUAGAUAUUAGGAGGAAUACCAGUAGCGAAGGCGAGUUUCUGGACACAAACUGACGCUGAGGUACGAAAGCGUGGGGAGCAAACAGG
rnacentral:rRNA from 1 species